UUAUGGACAUACAUGAUCCUUGGCUAUAUAAUCAAGUGUCAUAUGCAGUGUUACAAAAGAAUAUUGGAAUUAUGUCAAUAAGAAAAAGAACUACCAGAAGGAUACAGUAAAGAGGAAACAGACAUAUCCCACCCAUUAGAUAUGUGCUUCAAAAUCUGAAUAUACAGAAUGAAUUCCGCUCAUUGCAGCUCCUUCUGAAAAGAACACCUUUGUUGUAUUGACAUAGAAUCAACAGAAUUGUCCGGUUCCUUGAACAUGUCACAACUGGAUCCAUAUGAUGGCAAUUAAAGAUUCAUACAUGUGUUCAUAAAUGAUUGAUCUUCGUCAGCCAAUAAGCCAAAAAACUGCAGCUAGCAAAAUAACAAGUUUAUCUUACUUUUCCAAAUGAAUCUUAAUGGUAAUACAUGUACAUGUAGCAUCAAAAUUCAUCAAGCAUUGUUAUAUUUCUUAGAUUUUCUUAAAUCAAACCAUCCUUUUCUUGUUGUAGGUCAUAAUGUUGUAUCAAAUGACAUUCCAAUUUUCUUGAAAUUACUUGAGGAGUUUGAACUUCAAGAAAAACUUACAUAUUAUUGAAUGUAUUCACUUUAUUUUGUUGAAUUACAUCCUGAGUUUAAAAGUUGUACACCAUCAUAUACAGUUUAUGGUGGGAUUCUUCUAACUUUUAUGAAUCUGUGUGUGUAAAAUCUAUACUUUAAUGCUACAAAUUAUUACCUUUAAUAGAUUAGACGUUCUUACGUAAAUUAUUACACUAUUUUUGUAUGUAUGUAAUGAUAACCGAAUCACUCUCUAUUUCCCCGCACUUUUUACCAUGUGAUGCUUUAGUGUAUUAAUAUCUGACUACUGAUGACCAGGCAGUCUUCAUUAAACAGUGAAACACAUAA